AUUGAACGCUGGCGGUAGGCUUAACACAUGCAAGUCGUGCGAGAAAGUAUCUUCGGAUAUGAGUAGAGCGGCGGACGGGUGAGUAACGCGUAGGAAUCUACCUAGUAGAAGGGGAUAGCCCGGGAAACCCGGAUUAAUACCGUAUACCUCCUUCGGGAGAAAGAAGGCCUCUCUUUGAAGCUUUCGCUAUUAGAUGAGCCUGCGUAAGAUUAGCUUGUUGGUGAGGUAAAGGCUCACCAAGGCGACGAUCUUUAGCUGGUCUGAGAGGACGAUCAGCCACAUUGGGACUGAGACACGGCCCAGACUCCUACGGGAGGCAGCAGUGGGGAAUAUUGGACAAUGGGCGCAAGCCUGAUCCAGCCAUACCGCGUGUGUGAAGAAGGCCUUCGGGUUGUAAAGCACUUUAAGCAGGGAGAAAAAGUUAUAAGUUAAUACCUUAUAACCGUGAUGUUACCUGCAGAAUAAGCACCGGCUAAUUCCGUG
rnacentral:rRNA from 1 species